rnacentral:rRNA from 1 species
ACUCCUACGGGAGGCAGCAGUGAGGAAUAUUGGUCAAUGGACGCAAGUCUGAACCAGCCAUGCCGCGUGCAGGAAGAAUGCCCUAUGGGUUGUAAACUGCUUUUAUUUGGGAAGAAACCUCUUUACGUGUAGAGAGCUGACGGUACCAAACGAAUAAGCACCGGCUAACUCCGUGCCAGCAGCCGCGGUAAUACGGAGGGUGCAAGCGUUAUCCGGAAUCAUUGGGUUUAAAGGGUCCGCAGGCGGGCUUAUAAGUCAGUGGUGAAAUCUCUCGGCUCAACCGAGAAACUGCCAUUGAUACUGUAGGUCUUGAAUUCGGUCGAAGUGGCGGAAUGAGUAGUGUAGCGGUGAAAUGCAUAGAUAUUACUCAGAACACCGAUAGCGAAGGCAGCUCACUAGGCCUGGAUUGACGCUGAGGGACGAAAGCGUGGGAGCGAACAGGAUUAGAUACCCCUGGUAGGAUAGCG